UUCUUUUUUAAACGAAACGUAAUGUGCCUAGGGCGUGCCUCUAGCUGUUUUUGUUGCUUGUGACGCCUCCAGCAAAACGCUCGCGAUAUUCCAGAUCAUUCGAAUUGGUUCCCGAGAAGGAAAGGCCUACAAUCUGUUAUGUUGAUACAAUUUCCUUGUUUAUAGUUGAUGGUUUUCGCCAUCCUCCGCACCCUGUUUCGGAUGCUUUAGCCAAUCUUUCACGACGAGCAAUGCGAACAUCGACAUACGGUCGACGGUCGUGUUUGUGUUCUGUUGUCGUGUAAUGUCUAGCGUACUUCCGCUAGGUUUGUUUCAGGAUGACCAAUCUUGUCGAAUGUUGAGAGCUAAAGAACAGAAAGAAGAAAGAUCCGCCUCGGAAUAUCAAAAUGGUUUGACCCACUAAACUCGAAUGGUUCGCCCGUUAUUUUAUUUUUUUAUUUUGUAUUUUUUAUUUUUUUUUUGAGAGGGCAAGCUUGCUGACCUUGUCACUUUUGCCCAAUCUCUGAAAUGGGGCUAGCGGAUCUAGCGAAUUCUUCACCUGGCAUAUAAAGCUGUGGCCGCCAUGAGCCCUCCCACCCUUGCCACAACUAUCGAUUAUUUAUUUAUGUUUGUUUUUUUCUUCUUCUCCUUCCUUUUUCUUUUUCGUUAACGGGGGUGUAACUAGCAAUGACGCUGACUCAUCGUGGGAUGACGUCACCCCUCUGAGGAGCCUACCCCACAUGUCCGAUAGCGAUCCAGCCAAACGUAGCUUCCCCCUUUCCACUAACCUUUAGGAGCAUUCCUUCCACCUCGGCUCAUUACUCAAAUACUUCUUCUCGGUGGGGGAAAUGCGACUAGAUAAGAAGACAAGAAAGACAAGUAUCCAACGACAAUUGAUCAUGUGCAUGCCAUAUAACGGUUCAGUCGGCUCUCGACAAGAUCAAUGUUUGUUGUCGAUCGAGAUGAGUGGGGCUAAACUUGGUGGCCUGUUCCGGUCGCAACCCGAACGUUCUUCUUGUUUUGUUUUUUUGUUUUUUGUUUUUUGUUUUUUUUAGCCUGAGAUAGUGAGGCAACUGAAGUAAAGAAGCUCUACUCCACUAGCGUGGGUACGACCGAUUUCGGUGAACGUUCAGCGAAUCGUGCAAUCCGAAACGGUAGAAAAUGAAACGAACUAUCUUCUCUUGGCCGACAGGUUUCGUCUGUUUUGCACCGCCGUUACGCUCCCUAACCAUUGCCAUCGACUACAGUAACAUUUCAAUAAUACCUGUUAAAUUUGUUUUGAUUUGAAACAUUUCCCAGUGGAACACGACCUGUUGUAACCGUAAAUUGUAUUAUAUCAAUUUUUUCUUUUC